ensembl:snRNA U6 U6 spliceosomal RNA
GUGCUUGCUUUGGCAGCACAUGUACUAAAAUUGGAAUGAUACAGAGAAUAUUAGCAUGGCCCCUGCACAAAUUCAUGAAGCGCUCCAUAUUAAAAAAAAAAAAAGCUCU